rnacentral:tRNA from 1 species
GCCUGGGUGGCUCAGUCGGUUAAGCGUCUGACUUCAGCUCAGGUCACGAUCUCACGGUUGGUCGGUGUGAGUUCGAGCCCCGCGUCGGGCU